UACGUAGGGUGCGAGCGUUGUCCGGAAUUAUUGGGCGUAAAGAGCUCGUAGGCGGUUUGUCACGUCUGCUGUGAAAUCCCGAGGCUCAACCUCGGGCCUGCAGUGGGUACGGGCAGACUGGAGUGCGGUAGGGGAGAAUGGAAUUCCUGGUGUAGCGGUGGAAUGCGCAGAUAUCAGGAGGAACACCGGUGGCGAAGGCGCCACUCUGGGCCGGUACUGACGCUGAGGAGCGAAAGCGUGGGGAGCGAACAGG
rnacentral:rRNA from 1 species